GUGCUCGCUUUGGCAGCCCAUAUACUAAAAUUGGAACAAUACAGAGAAGAUUAGCCUGGCCCCGUACAAUUCGUGCAAAUUCGCGAAGCUUCCAUAUAUUU
ensembl:snRNA U6 U6 spliceosomal RNA